AAAGAGGGCCACGAGCUGCGAAAGGGCGGGAAAGGCGGUUGGAGAAGGAGAGGUAAGCGGUUACUCACUCCAUGGCUGCAGCAAGGAGAGGCGGCGGCGGCCUCGGCUGAAGAAAGACGGUGGGAGCGGAGAGCGCAGGCGUGCCGAGGUGGAUGUCGGUCUUUUCUCUAUUGCAGAAACCCACCUUGUCCCAUCCACAUCAGGACAUCCCAGCUGGAGUUCAACUUUCAUCCCUUCUGUGGCAGUUAGGAGACUGAAUCAAGGUCCAGAGAAGGUGGAGGGAUCCUGGUAUUGAGCGCUUUUAGAGCUGCUUCUGCCUUCCCUGGCUCCUGGCUUUCUCCCAUCUUCAGAUUCCAAAGUGCAUCACUCCAGUCUGCUCUUGUCACCACAAACUUUCUUCCCUUCUCCAGUCGGUCAAAUCCGUCUUCUAAGGAUACUGCUGAUCAUCUUUAGGGCUCACGCCUGUAGU
rnacentral:sRNA from 1 species